AGUGAACAGAAUACCAAUAAAUGCCACGCGUGAUUGGAUUUCAUCAGACUUUUAGCACCCUCCGGUUGUGUGACACAUUGUCUCGUUGGCCUGUGAUGAAUUGUGACACACUGCCACCGAGGGCUUUGGUUAGUUUUUUUUUUGCACGGCUAAGAUCUUUCAGUGACAGUGUGUCUUAGCAUCAUCACUAGGAGGCUGACGAAGAAGAAAAGAAGUCACUGCGUUGUGGGAACCGCGUUAAAUUGAAAAGGAGUUCCUUGCGGUUUUUUUUUUUUUUUUUUUUUUUUGUAAAUGUUAAACUGUAAAAUGAGAUGUGGCUGAAAUCCUAUCGCACGAACACCAGAGCUACGCUGAUAGUCAUGUCAUGUUUUGAUUCCUGUUUCCUCUGUGGGUACCUUUAUAUUUAACACAGGGCUGCCCAACCCGGCUCCUGUCCUGUAGGUUUUCAUUUCAACCCUAAUUUGGCACGCCUGAUUCUAAUAAGCAGCACAACAAGAUCUCUAGCUGUUGAAUGAGGUGUGCCUUUCUGGGGCUGGAGUGGAAACCGACAGGAUGGCGGAUCUCCAGGAACAUGGCUGUUCAGUUCUUAACCUAACACAUUACUUAAAUCAGCAGUUUCAUAUUCCAGUCCUGGGGGCCACAGUCGCUGCUGGUUUUUUGUGAUUUCCUUUCAAUCAGCAGCCAAUUUAGGUCUAGGAAACAAGGUGUGCAGACUCUUCAGCCAAUCAAUGACUUAAAUUAAGCGCUUACGGGCAGGAACACAUAAAAACCUUGCAGACCCAGCAUCCUAUCAACAUGUGCGUUUGAGAGAGCUGCUUUUUGGGAGUGCUAAAGUCAUGUGCUUCUCUUGCAUCCAUCAGCACCUCUAGAACCCAUGUCCAUGGAGAAAUGGACAAUGGAAGGUUUGCGAGUGAUGCGUGGAAUGUAUCGGCGUUAGGCAACAGGAACAAUAACGGGUAGCAAAGCGGAACAGUCAGGACUUCAGAACUCCACUGACAGUUAUGUCAGUUAGCCGGAUGCGCUAUGUGCUCCGCUCUGCUGAGUGUCCUCUCGUUUGGAUUGUUUGUCCAUUUUCUUGAAGCGUUAUAUCCACCCACCUUCCACAACGCCCUGUCCCUUUUUUAUUUUUUUGUUUUAAGUCUAGCACUCAAUAGCCUAUAUAUAGCAAACUGAUGUGAAGAAAACGGUAGUGCUUUAAAGUGAUGGUCAUAUAGGAGACUGUAGAACUUUACAGUUGAAUGGUGCCGUCAAGCUUUCUGGCCUUCCUGACAUAAUAAAAGGUAAAGAAGGGCCUUGAGACAGGUGUGAAGGUUGUGUACCGCCUCUACUGAGUGCAGCAGUGCAUUUCAUGUUCAAAACCCCGCGACGCAAGUUUGUCAUUCACAAGCAGAACAUACCCACCUAUUGACUUGGGCUCCUUGUUUGGCAUUAAAUAUUUAUCAAGUGCUAUGUCAAGCUGCGUUCUGACAUCGAGGUAGCAUGUCAUCUCGAUCUCAAGUCUUCCAUUUCACACCAUUUAUUUCUGCAAACAAGACAACCUCCUGUUGCUAAUGUGCUCCAUGCUAAUCCAAUCAUGGAAGCCUCUUAGAAUAGGCAGGCCUAACAUUGUUAUUAUUUCAUGUGCCUAUAGCCAUUACAUUCUAAUAUGACUAGACUGCAAAACCAAUCGCUGAAGACAUCCGCCUGAAGUUUUAUUAGAGCUUUGCUCUCAGUUAUUCAAUUAUUUUACCUUCAUCUGUUUGCUGAUGAGCUGUGUGCAUGCUCAUUUGUUGUUUGUGGCAUAUUUAACGCAUGAAAUAAGGAAAGACAUAAGGACUAGCAGGAUUGAAUAGGAGCUCACUGACGCAUGUUCCAGGCAGUGUUAGAGUCAAAUGAACAUUGGCAGGUUUAAUGUGUAGUAUCUAUUUCAUCGGUGUUCAUUCCACUCUGUCAGUGCAUUGGAGUCCAAGUACUCCAUCAGAGUUGAUUUCACACAGAAUUUAACCGCAUAUAGAAAUGGCGCAGUGUCAAAGCGUUGAACCCAAAAUUUCAGCUGACAACCAUUUGGCUGUUAUUCAUUUUAACAAAUAUUUGUUCCUAAUUUUCUAAAA